rnacentral:rRNA from 1 species
GAUGAACGCUAGCUACAUGCCUAACACAUGCAAGUCGAGGGACCGGCGCACGGGGGAGUAACACGUAUCCAACCUUCCCUUUACUCUCGGAUAGCCUUUCGACAGAAAGAUUAAUACUCGAUAUAAAGGAUGGGGAUGCGUUCCAUUAGGUUGUUGGUGAGGUAACGGCGCACCAAUCCUUCGAUGGAUAGGGGUUCUGAGAGGAAGGUCCAUAACAUUGGAACUGAGACACGGUCCAAACUCCUACGGAGGGGAGCAGUGAGGAAUAGUGGUCAAUGAGCGCUAGCCUGCAACAGCCAAGUAGCGUGAAGGAGGAAGGCGUAUGGGUCGUAAGCUUCUUUUAUAGAAGAAGAUGGAUUAAAUGAGAAAGGAACGGCUAACUCCGUGCCAGCAGCCGCGGUAAUAC